rnacentral:rRNA from 1 species
UACGUAGGGGGCAAGCGUUGUCCGGAUUUAUUGGGCGUAAAGAGCGUGUAGGCGGCUUCACAGGUCCGCUGUAAAAGUCCAGGGCUCAACCCUGGAAAGCCGGUGGAUACUGCCGGGCUAGAGUCCGGAAGAGGCGAGUGGAAUUCCUGGUGUAGCGGUGGAAUGCGCAGAUAUCAGGAGGAACACCAAUAGCGAAGGCAGCUCGCUGGGACGGUACUGACGCUGAGGCGCGAAAGCGUGGGGAGCAAACAGG